UGUCAUACGUGCGAUGAUUAUGGCUUACAGCUCUCUCUUCUUCUUUGAGGCAUGUCUUCUUUUUGCUAUGGGUGUCUUGUAAGUACUCUCUUCGCUUAGCGCAAUACAAUGUCAAUCUGGGAGGGGGGAAGUGAGAUAGAAUAAUAUUUCCUCUACUUAAACAGACUAAACUAAAAGGCCACCUACAAACAAUACCUAUUAUUUGAACUUUUUUCUUCAAU